GUAAGACAGAAAAGAUCUCCAAGUCCCCACUCGACCCAGGAAGUCCAGCUGGCUUCGCCUCUCACUGGGAUUACAAAUGGUGGAUUGGAAACAGUGUCAGCAUGACUCUCCCACUUGGAAAGACAAAAUGGGCUUAAUUAUUAGAUAAGGAUACGUUUCCAACUGAGGGUGGCAACGUUAUGCUGGAAGAACAUGUGUCAGGAAGACCACAAAAUUUCAUGACUGUACUUGCUACACUUUCAGCAAAAGAGUUAUACAUAUUUUCAGUUCAACAAAGAUUAAGCCAAAGAGAAUUCUUAGAACAUUCCCACUCUUCUUUGGCACACCAAAAGGCAACAAAUGUCAUUUUCUCCCAUGUUUUUAUGUGCAGAUUAGAACAAAGACCAAUUAUCUAUGCAGCUGUCCACAGUGGAUAAAACAAAAAGCAUACAUUUGGUUCAGAGUAAGUCACCUGGGUUGGGCCCAUCCAAGGAAGUUUGAUGUUUCUACUCUCAUGAAAAGUACCAAUGGCACUGCACAGUGAUUAUCUUAGAUAUUAAGGAUAAACACAAAUUUCUCCUUAAAUUUCCAUUUAUUGGAAAUGAUUGGAGAGGGAGGGAACUUCUCCCUCACCUCCACACUGCCUCUUUUCCAACUCUUCUUCCAACACAAAAUAGUUUAAACAGCAAGCACUUAGAGAGCUUUUAGCCUUGCUUGUUGAUUACAAGGCCCAAGUUAGUGUAUGGUUUGCCCAUCGGAGGAAAGCUAAAACAUGGGCCUUCAUGGGUAUUAAAAUUCAAGAAACCUUUUCUAGCAGUUUUUCUAUUUUCUUUAAAGUAACAACCUAUGGACUUCCCCAUCUGACAUUUUCGAGUGAUCCCACUGUGUGAAUGAAAGACUACUUCAGGGUUUGAGGGCAAAGCUGAGAUCUGAGCAACUUACCAGUAAGCAAAGGUAGAACCCAGAGCCCAUCUCUCCUUUUCCACGCUGCUGAGUAAAGUCUGGCUCAAUCAACCUAUCAAUGAAGCAGUGCUUACAACAUUCUCCAAGACCACCCAAAACCCAAACUGGAAAUGAAUCAUGACUAAUCUGACUCGUUUUGGCUCACACAGUGCCCUUCCAAUUUGUAUUUACCUUUACCACCCGGGACCUCACCUUGGACAUGUGUACCAGGAUGUAAGGCAAUAAAUCUAUUCACAAUUCCAAAAGGCCCUGGUCCUCUAUUAAGAUUUCCUGAAGGCUACUUACUUUCUCUACUCAUUAAGAUUUUUGCUUAACUUCAAA
rnacentral:lncRNA from 1 species